rnacentral:lncRNA from 1 species
CUUCAGUUUGCCCCUGAGUUUUGCCAUGGUCCAGGCAGCCUUGAGGGACCCAGGCUGAGCCCUUCAGGGGACUUUGGGAGGCCAGAAGAACCUCUCCCACUGGAGCUCCACCGCAGAAUCACAGAAUUGCAGAGGUGGAAGGGACCUUGAGGGUCAUCUAGUCCAAGCCACUGCAAUGCAGGGGUCAUCUUGCCUCCCUCUCUCCUGCCAGUGCAACUCGGAAUAGCAUGGAAGGGCAUCCUGGCUUGCAGAAUAUCAGCCCCAAAUCCCCUUCUCCCUUGGGAGGCAGCAGGUGUGGUUUCAAACCACCCUCCUCACUCUGGCACCGCUGUGGAAAGGCUGACCACAGCUUUUCAGCCGUUGGGAUGGUUUGUUUCAAAACCUGGUCAGGGAGGAAAGAAGAUCCGCUCUGUCCUGCUCACCACCUUCCUGGGCGUGUUGUGGUUCUGCAAUCCCCUGAUGCUUCUGGGAGAUAUAAAGAGAGAGAAGCCAGGCUGGGCGAUGGACUGCCCUCUUAGCCUGUCACACCAUGAGGUCUGGUAGGUUGGUGCUUCUUGUGGGCCUCCUCGCCCUCUGGACUGAGCUGACACCCACCUCUGGUCAGAGGCCAGCAGGGAAGCCUGGGCAAUGUCCUGGGGCUCAGCCAGGUAUGGUCGGACCCUGCGUGGUUUGGUGUAAGAAUGACUGGUCAUGCCCUGGAGUUCAGAAGUGCUGCGGGAGUUGCCCACGAGCUUGUGCUUAUCCUGUCAGAGGGAAGCCUGGACGAUGCCCCCCGAAUCAAGGUGUGGGAAACUGCAUUGCACGGUGUAGAAAUGACUGGUCCUGCCCCGGUGUUCAGAAGUGCUGCGGCAGUUGCCCACAAGAUUGCCGUUUUCCUGUCUAAGUUUCUCUGCCGCAGAAGACCUUGGAUGGACCGGAUGACCAGAAACAAGGAAUGGAGCUUAGCCUGUAUCAUCUGAAGACCUGCUGACCUCUCCGAAUGUGACCAUCAAGGCACCACGAUCUGAGACCUUGGCUUUCUACCAACUUGUCAGGUUUCUGGUCGUUGAGCAAAGUUUGCUCCAUCCGGCAUCCUCUUUUUCUUUUGCACAAUAAAGGCAUUGACUCAUCUGCAUGCUAGACUGUGUGUGUGUGUGUGUGUUCACUGCUUCCUUCUCCAGUGUUGUGCCCAACUUUGAUGUCCCAAUGGGGCAGGGUUGAGGAACCUUCAGCCCACCUGCCAAUCUUGCCCCACCAGCCUUCCACGUUUGGUCCUCAAGGCCAUUUGGGGCAAGCCAU